ensembl:lncRNA
GCGCUGUGUAUGUUUGAAAGCACGUGUCAUGAAGCUGACUAAAAGAAACAAGAUCCCUAUGCAAUACAUUGGGAGGAUUAAUUAAAAUAGAAUUCAAUGUCUGGUUUAGUUUAACUGGCAAUCUGAUUGUAAACACCUACUCGAUGUCCACCGUUAAAUCAACUGCGCGGAAUAUUUUUUUGGUCUAUAUCGUGUGGUCUGGAGUUGCUAACGUGACUGUCUAAACUAACAGAAAAUUGUGUCCAGCAAAAUAAGCCAUUAUAAUCAAGAAUGCUUGAUCUCUUUUCCUUAAAAAGGCCCAUUUGAUAACAAGCUAUACAUUUUGAUGAUGCUCUGGUCUAGUUCGACAACUAAUCAGAACAGGGAUAACAAACCAGAAACCAUAGGCAUAUGUCUAGAAAUACAGAAAAAAGCAAGCACUUAAAAAAUACUUACAGAGGAAAAGCUUCGUAGGAAGUGUUGUAUUUUGUAGCGAAAUAAUGCCACGAAUCCAGUGCGUGUGUAGGUGAAUAUUUUUUUUUUAAUCCCUUGUAUUCAACCAGCAGUAACCCGUAUCAAAGUUUGUUUCCCCACUCUCACCUCCGCUCUGUCCGACAGUCGUUCUCAGUGCGGCAAAAAAAAAAAACGAACUUAACGAACGUGCCCAAUCACACCAACUCUCGUUAUACCCGACACGGUAUCUCCAUCGUUCGCGUCGGCAUUGUUGUCGUUUGAGAGGUUUACGUUUAAAUAUCCGGCUAUGCUAAAUAACUAACAACUAGGCGUAGCCUAGCUACUAACGUUGUUGCCCUUGCUUUGCCAAACCCGCUCGCUCGCACCGCUCUCCUCCAGCAGGCAGGCUGCUCCCCUCCGCGCGCAGGGCUUCGCUCUCGCUGUCCCAAAGCACUCCAAUGAGACCAGACUGCAUCCGGGUCGGGUCGUUGAUAGAGAUUCUUUUGAUGGUUACCUUAACAAAAGACCCAGGACUAGAAGAAGCAAACAAGCCUCACAACAUGAAUGAUCCGCCUCAUAGUAUCUAGGUAGGUUUUUCUGCAGGCAUGUGUUUGGGCACCCAACUGACUAAUUGUGACACCCUGGUAAACUGUGUGUUGCUACACACUGUACACAGCACCAGACCCACCGCUACCAACUAAUGUACCAGUCCCUUUUAGGUAAA